AAUGAACUGGGAGGCUUUAAGGAGGAAAGAAAUCAAGCCUAUGUUUAUUAUGAAUAACACUGGAACAGUUCCUUUGACUGAAACUGAACUUAGCGACUGGGAAUUAUAAUUAUUUAUAUUCCCAGUGGUAUAAACAUCGUGGACCCCUGUAGACCUACAGAGCUAAGCUGCCUGCAUAGGGUGGAGGGCGGGGGGGCCCUAGAGCAAAUCAUGCCCAGGGCCCCGCAGGCCUCUGUUACUGCCACAGAAGUCAAGUCUACGGGUGCCUGAGGAAUAAAGUCUCGUCUGUUCCUCUGCUCAAAGGAGAUUUCUGGUUGAAACGAUGAGAAGCUGAACACUAUGAAAGCAACCACUAAUUGAAGGUGAUGUCAUUCCCUGUGUAUCCCUUUAAAUGUAUUUACUGGGUUAGUUACAUUGUUGAAGGCUUUAUAAAGGGCAUGUGCUUUGCCUGAAAUGUCGCCUUUUCGAUGUGAUCCUUUUUAAAUACAUAUUUUGCACUCAAUCCAUGUGCUGCGUCUGCUUUGAAUAUAUCUACGACUGGAGAACAGGACGGCAUCCAGAAGUUACUGAGCACCGGAGCUUUUCAGUGUUGGAAGAGUGCGGAGACGUUUCUGUAUCAAGAUCUGUACAUAUAUGUAUAUAUGAUCCUUGAUAAAGGUCCUAAUGUGGGCCGAAAUAUUGUGUGAUAUGUGAAAUAAAGACAUUUAGUUGUUUUUAUACUUAUA